rnacentral:lncRNA from 1 species
AGGUUUACCUGAUCGAGAACAUUGCAGAGCUUCUUGGAAUUUAAAACUAUUUUUAAAUUCCUUAGCCAGUCUUUAUAAUUAGUUUCAGUUAAGGAUUGUGUGUCGAGAACACGAGAGAGAUAAUUGGAAGCAGACAUUUACUUUGUAGGGAGUAAAGAUUCAAGUUAGAUAUUUUCAUUUGUUUUGAAAAUUUAUUUUAGGGAUU